UACAGAGGGUGCGAGCGUUGUUCGGAAUUAUUGGCGUAAAGGGCGCGUAGGCGGUGCGGUAAGUCACCUGUGAAAUCUCCUGGCUCAACUGGGAGCUUGCAGGCGAAACUGCCGUGCUGGAGUGUGGGAGAGGUGCGUGGAAUUCCUGGUGUAGCGGUGAAAUGCGUAGAUAUCAGGAGGAACACCUGUGGCGAAAGCGGCGCACUGGACCACAACUGACGCUGAGGCGCGAAAGCUAGGGGAGCAAACAGG
rnacentral:rRNA from 1 species